GCCCAGAUGGUGGAAUUGGUAGACACGCUGGUUUCAGGUACCAGUGCCGCGAGGUAUGCAAGUUCAAAUCUUGUUCUGGGCA
rnacentral:tRNA from 1 species